rnacentral:lncRNA from 1 species
CCCACUUGCAUUCUCCUCUCCCCAGUUUAGCACCCGUUCAAAUAAGGUUGAAAGGCCCUCAACAAUGCUUCAGAACAAGCUUUCUGCCACAUCAUUGUGAUCAAGAGAUUCGUGUGAUGAGGAAAUGUUUGUAUCCCUGAAGGAAGACCUUGGCAUCCCAUUUCUGUGGUAGGAUAGUGGCAUACCUGCUCUGCAGCCAACAAAUUCAAAA